UCAUGCUUGCGAAUACACACAUCGAUAGGUAGUGGUUUCCUUGACAAAGACAAACACUCAAGGUCAAAUGAUGAUGGUGGUCUCUUGAAUCAAAAUUAAUGUUAAAAUUGAAAGCUUAUUGUGUUCCGUAUGCUUAAUUACCACAAUCCUGCCUGUCUGUACGAAUAAGUCAUGUAUUCUUUGAACAAUAGAAAGGAUGUAAUGGUGACUCGAACUAAAUGGCCUUAGGUAUCCAACAUUAAAAUCGUGGAGUUUUAAACGACGCAGCGAUUUUUUAUAAAGCAAAGGGAUUCUACUUAAGAAAUACCUACUAGAUUUUUACAUGUAUCGGAUUUUUAAAAAUUAAUUGAACAGGGUGUCCAUGCAGAGGUAGAGGCAAGUGGAGACCCCCUGGAUCGUGAGGUGGCCGGGCUUGUACGUUGCACGCUGCAGUAUAGCUGAAACAAUAAUAAGGUUUUGAAAAAAAAAAGAUGACUAAUUAAAUAAAUAAAAAAAAA